CCCAAACCUUGCUGUAACUUUAGUAAAAACCCCACUAAUUUGAAAUGCGGGGCUCUCAAUUCUGAUCCACUGCGUCGGUGAUGGUUGGGAGCCCCUGCUCGAGCUUGAAUAAAUGACCCUCAUGUGCUUGCAUCAGAAACGGCUUCCUGGUGGUCUUUGGGGACUUCGCAAUCUGGGCACAACAAAAGUAUGACUAUAACUAAGGCCUGAUGUCACCUUGCCUGCGAGCUGGCUAUGGCAUGUGGAAACAUAACUCCAUUUUGCUUCUGGUCACAAAUUGAAGCCUCAAUGGUCCAAUGAUACUGUGAAACUCAAGGUUAAAUCCACCAUUGUAUGUAGAUCUCUAACUUUGUGUUCUGAAACAAUACUUAAUGUGGAUUGUCUUCUGAAGAAACUGAGAGGGAUUCUCAUGCUCCUUUUUCUCAAGUCUCCCUUCUACUUUCUUCUCUCUUUCUCUGUCUGCUCUGUCUGUCUCUGUUUCUCUCUCUUUCUAAGGUUCCAUAUAUGAGAGAAAAUGUUAUAUUUGACUUUCUAGGUCUAGUUUAUUUUGCUUAACAUCAUGAUCACUGUGAGACCAAAGCGACUCCAUUUUGCUAAAAUCCACUAUUCCCCUAGUCUCUAUUGCCUUCACAAAUUAAUGGUUAAAAUGUGCUUGCUCUGGGACAAAAGACACAAUCUGUAAAGAAGCAAAGUUCCAAAGUUAAUUACUCAACCAUCUGUUUGCCCAGGAAAUGAACGUUCCGGGUCCACUAUCUAUAGAACAAUCUUGUCAAUGUGCUGACCAUCAGUACGUGACAGUCGACCACUAACCUUUGUCCCUCUUUUCCCUCGUAAAACCUACAUGUAACCACCCCUCAACCCCCUAUGGGCCUAGCCAAUCAGAAAUAUACACUUCAUGCUUGCUAAAUGCCA
rnacentral:lncRNA from 1 species